rnacentral:lncRNA from 1 species
AGCCAUAUUUCUGCAAACUGUAAAUGCAUUUAGCAGGUCGGCAUUAUACGGGGUCUACCUCUUGGCCCAAUAAGCAUGGCCUAAACACCAAAAAAAAUUACAAAAAAAAAUAAGUACAAUCUGCCAUUACAGUACUGAAGAUAUUACAUGGGCAAGAUCCCAGCCAACAUGCAGUUCUUUACUGUGAGCGACCAAGAGCAGUGAACUCAUGGACGGCUCCAACUUGCGAACGAGCCACCUUGUCAGUACUUCUCUAUCUCCUUGGACCAAGGCUGGCUAUGCUUUGGCGCGAUCUGUGGCUGCAUAAUUACAAUGUGUUGCAACGGGUGAUACCAUGUUAAAAUAUUGUCAGUUCUCAAAAAAUAAUGUUGUCAAAGCAAUGAAAAGGAAAAGGCUACCUGUGAAAUUAUUUUUUGCUGCAGUUGGUUGUGAGCAGAGAAUCAAGUUAUCUGUAACAAGAGAAUCAAGUUAUCUAUAAGAAAAGGAAACUAAGAUAAGCCAUGGGUGUACUUUACUUUUAAGUCCUGAAGCCUUUACUUUAAGCACUGAUGUUGUGCAUGGAAGCUCAUGCUGGAAUACCUUUAGCUGCAUAUUACACCACAAAUAGCUUCCCUGCUGCAAAAAUUAUGAGUCACUUCCAAGGUUCAAACAGUUCUUUGAAUUUACCAUCUUAUAAAACAAUGUAUAUGACCUUAAUGUAAACAUGUCUUAAAAUAGUUCAUGCACGGGCUAUAAUAACAUAUGAAGAACAGAUCCGUUCCAAGAUUCACAUGGUUUUUGAACCAUCUAUCAUAGCCAAGAAGAUUUGAAUCGCAGAAAAUGGGGCAGUACUGAGAUGCAGAUUUUUCAAUAAAUCAUUGCACUGUAGUUUGAAUCCCUGUGCAGAACGAAAUUUAUGUUCAGUGAAAUCCUAUUAACCCAAUGCCAUAAUCCAAGAUAAUCUACCGAAUUGCAUUAUUGAACAUGAGAACUUAUUAUUGGAAUAUGUCAAAAAGGAGAUCGGACUCCAUCAAGAAUAGGUUAUUUAGAAAAUAAAUUACAUGUCAAUUGCAAUAAAAAAAUCUUUAAAGCACGUUUGACAUGACAAUUUGGCUAUCACAAAUGCCAAAUAAAUUACAGCCUAUAAAGAAAACAUCAUGUAGCUAGAGAAAAUGGACUUGAAAGAACUACGUGAUAGUAAAUAGGAAAGAAGAUAGUUUAGUCGGCAAGGCACAUACAAUCGCACCAACAGAAAAGAAAUCCAUCUCCAUCGAUCAAAGUUGUUCUUCUUUUGUCGAGAUACGACGAGCGAGCUAUCUUUGAAAGAGCUACCUGACAGUAAAUAAGAAAGAAGAUAGUUUAGUCGGCAAGGCACAUACAAUUGCAACAACAGGAAAGAAAUCCAUCUCCAUCGAUCAAAGUUGUUCUUCUUCUGUCG